rnacentral:rRNA from 1 species
UGGGGAAUAUUGGACAAUGGGCGCAAGCCUGAUCCAGCCAUGCCGCGUGAGUGAUGAAGGCCUUAGGGUUGUAAAGCUCUUUCACCGGUGAAGAUAAUGACGGUACCCGGAGAAGAAGCCCCGGCUAACUUCGUG